AGAGAGAGAGAGAGAGAGAGAACUGAAAAAUCCCAAAAAUAAUGUAAUUUAAUCUUAGUAUUCACAGAUGACAUCAUAAGAAAGGAAAAAUUCUGGUUCACAUCCUUGAAUAGAAUCAUCACAUUAGAAUAUUAAUAAAAAAAGCAUAGAAUCACACAUGUAAUUAGCAUUUUACUGGAGCAAUCCCUGCCAUGAGACUUAUCAAAUGAUAGGAACGAAAGAACUUAUGUCCUUCUGUUUAGUGGUAUAAGAAAUUACGAGCUGCAAUCAUAUUGGCUUGCGCCAGACAAGCGGAUUCAAUUAUAAUACAUGAAUCUAUUUGGCUAAGUAAGCGUAUUGCAAUAGAAAAUGGAACACACCUUUGCACAUUCACCAAGCCAG
rnacentral:misc_RNA from 1 species